AACGAACGCUGGCGGCAGGCCUAACACAUGCAAGUCGAGCGCGCCCUUCGGGGUGAGCGGCGGACGGGUGAGUAACGCGUGGGAACGUGCCCUUUUCUACGGAAUAGCCUCGGGAAACUGAGAGUAAUACCGUAUACGCCCUUUGGGGGAAAGAUUUAUCGGAAAAGGAUCGGCCCGCGUUGGAUUAGGUAGUUGGUGGGGUAAUGGCCUACCAAGCCGACGAUCCAUAGCUGGUUUGAGAGGAUGAUCAGCCACUGGGACUGAGACACGGCCCAGACUCCUACGGGAGGCAGCAGUGGGGAAUCUUAGACAAUGGGGGCAACCCUGAUCUAGCCAUGCCGCGUGAGUGAUGAAGGCCUUAGGGUUGUAAAGCUCUUUCAGCUGGGAAGAUAAUGACGGUACCAGCAGAAGAAGCCCCGGCUAACUCCGUG
rnacentral:rRNA from 1 species